UGAGCUUCAGAAAUAUUGCACCAGCAAAGGUGUGUCAAACACGACCAGGGCAGGGACCAUCGCUCUGUGCUGGGCACUGCUGUGCCCUUCAAAAUGACAUCAGGGGAAACUGAAUCCAUUUGCAUUUCUUCAGAUGGCCAAAUCAUUGCAGAAAGUUGAAACUACUUGUGAAAAAUAACAACCAGGAAAACAGGGACAAUCAGUGAACUUGAAAUGACAGAAUAAACGAGGUAUUCUGAGCACUCAGCAAAGUGCAUUUACUGCUCUGUAUUUACUAGUUUUUUU